rnacentral:tRNA from 1 species
AGAAAUAAUUUAAAUGAACUUCUAAUUCAUUAUUUUAUGAUAUACAUAAGUCAUAUUAUUUCUA